AUGGCGGGAAAUAACAGUGUGGCCGGUGUGGCGCCAAGUGGCAGCAGUCGGGCAGUUCGCGCGCAGAAUGUGCGGUAUCAGCUGAGCGAUUGCUGUGUGCUUUUAUGCUUCUACUUACGGUGCUCAACUCCUUAAGAAGUGCCUCUCUUCACGUUUGUCAGAAAAUAUAGGCUUUCGUCAUCUUCCAGGAGGAAGCGUGUUUAUAGUAAGCACGACACACUUAUAAGGGAUUUCCCGUCGUUGCUGUUCUCCGUGUACGCUGUCAAGUGACGAUCGCAGUCUGCCGGCAUGCCUUCCACCCAGUCCGUUCUUCAGCUUCCCGUGCGAAAAUCUGCACGCUGUGCCGCGAAGGCUAAACAAAGCAGUAAGUCGCCUAGCAACUCUUAUAAAGCCCUUCUCGACGAGAACAGUGCGCGCCAGAUUCACCGAGUUAGCAAGAGGCUCUUCUCCGGUGAUGUAUCUACUCCUUCGUCCGAUAUUAACGGGUCACAUCAUUCCCCUACAUCGCAAUCACCGAAAAAAGCCAAGGAAAUAUCCAGCCAUGAAAAUAUAAUUUCCCUCUGUCUGUCCACGCCCGACACGUCGUUGUACCAGAAGGCAAAGCAGAAUUUAACGUCACAGUCAAGCGUCCGCGUUGUCGGUCGUCAAAGGGAGAUGGAGGCAAUGAAAGACUUUCUGCACUCUAAUUUGCGUGCUGGCACCUCCGGUAGUCUGUAUGUUUCUGGCGCACCCGGCACCGGCAAAACUGCUUGUUUGUCACAAAUACUCGAGUCAUCCAAGGAUCUCUUCAAAUUCCAGUAUGUGUUUGUCAACUGCAUGACACUACAAAGCAGCUCUGCUAUUUACCAGAAAAUUAUUACUGGUCUUGGCUUGUUGCCUACAUGUAGCAAUCGCCUUGAGACGAUACGUAGAGGACUCACUACCAAGGGCCAUCCUAUGAUAGUUGUGAUGGAUGAAAUUGACCAACUCGACAGCAAGAACCAAACAGUGCUGUACUCGCUUUUCGAGCUUCCUCAAUUGAAGAAUUCUUGUGCCAUAAUUUUUGGAAUUGCCAAUGCCUUGGAUCUCACAGAUCGUGUCCUGCCACACCUGCAAGCCUAUGGCUGUCGACCAACAUUGCUUCAUUUCGCACCCUAUUCUAGAGAUGAAAUAGUAGCCAUACUCACAGAUCGGCUUAGUGAGUGUCAUGCAGUAAUCCAGCCUCAAGCCAUUCAGUUCUGUGCACGAAAAAUUGCUGCUUGCACAGGAGAUGUCCGGAAGGCACUGGAUAUAUGCAGGCGAGCUGUUGAAGUUGUAGAACGUUCCACCAAGACUCAGCAGGUGCUAGUUCCACGGCCUGAGCAUGGUUAUAAUCUGGGCUCUCCCAAGAAGGCAUCCCUCAAGGUUGUCAACAUGGCCCACAUCUCUUCUGUAUUGGCAGAUGUGUUUGGAUCCUCAGCAAUGGGCAGCAAGGAUCUUAAUGUCACCUUGCCAUUGCAGCAGAAGCUAUUGCUAUGCACAUUGGUGGCACUGCUUAAAGUCAAGAAGUUGCGACAUGUGCCUCUUGGAAAGCUUCAAGAAGCUUACAUGCGCAUCUGCCAGAGGCACCAAUGCUCCACCGACCAGUCGGACUUCCAAUCCCUCAGCACCCUGCUAGAGUCUAGGGGCCUAAUCACUGUCAAAAGGCAUAAGGAGCUCCGACUGAGUAAGAGUACGUCAUUCGCCUAAGUGGUGCAUCAGGGGGCAGCACCACAAGGGCACUUGGCGUUCACCCACAUCAUGUGCAACGAGCAUGUGGCACCACCACCUACCCCUACGGUUAGCCUCAGGGUGGACGAGAAAGAAGUCGAGUACGUCCUUCAAGACAAAGCUCUUCUAGCAGCAUGCCUCAAUGACAGUGCCAUGCUGUGAAGUUUAGUGAAGAUUGUUGUGUAACUGUCAUCAGAACUUUUGUGUGAUUGUUUCAAUUGUUUUCAACCCUGCAAGUUCUGUGUGUUGAUGUGUUUGCACAUUUGCUUUAUAUCAUAGCACAUGUUAAAAGUGGCAGCUGAAAUUAUUUUGUUAGUCAUCAAUCACUGUUCUCUCGAUGUCAUACACAAUAUUCUUUCUUCAAAUACCGUCAAUCAUAGUCUUAUGUGCACUCAUAUUCAUGUGUCAAUCGAAGUCAAUAAACUUUCACUCACCUACA